UAACAAUAUUAGUGUUUCUUACACAGAAAUACGAUGGCCAUCUUCCCAUAGAAAUAAAGGCUGUUCCUGAGGGCUCUGUGAUUCCCAGAGGAAAUGUUCUUUUCACAGUAGAAAACACAGAUCCAGAGUGCUACUGGCUCACAAAUUGGAUUGAGACUAUUCUUGUGCAGUCAUGGUACCCAAUCACAGUGGCUACAAACUCUAGAGAGCAGAAAAAGAUUUUGGCCAAAUAUUUGCUG